rnacentral:rRNA from 1 species
GUCCACGCCCUAAACGAUGCCAACUAGGUGUUGGAGAAGGAGACUUCUUUAGUACCGUAGCUAACGCGUGAAGUUGGCCGCCUGGGGGAGUACGGUCGCAAGAUUAAAACUCAAAAGGAAUUGACGGGGACCCGCACAAGCGGUGGAUGAUGUGGAUUAAUUCGAUGCAACGCGAAAAACCUUACCUACCCUUGACAUGUCAGGAACUUGCCAGAGAUGGCUUGGUGCUCGAAAGAGAACCUGAACACAGGUGCUGCAUGGCUGUCGU